UAACAACGACAGCACCACACCCACAGCGGCAUCAUACAACACCAACAACUAUAACAACAAAAACCAAAACGACCCCAAAUCCUCUCUUCUUCAUUAACCAAACAUUGUCGUCUCAUAUCCCUUUCUAUCUCAAAAUCAUACAGAGGGGUGUGUGUGGCAUGAGCUAGAGGCUAUGCAAAGCUUCUACAAGCAGCCUACGUAUUCCUUCAAUCCGCGAAUCAAGAAAGUAUUUGUACAAUUUCGUAUGAAUCUACUUCACAACCUUAUCCCUUCAUCUAAAAUUUCCAAGACACCCCUCAAAAUCCCCUCUCCCACAUUACUAAAAUUAGAAAAUCAACCUGAAUUUUUUAUUUUAUAAAUACCUCACUAUUUUCUUUGAAAAACAAGGCUGGAAGUUUGAGAAAAGAAUUUGUGGAUUUCUAAAUUGAGAGAGGAUUUCCUCUUUAAAUAUAUUUUUUUAAAAAUUCUUGUAAGACUCAUUCGAGCCUAGAAUUUCUAUUACUAGUGGCAUUCUGAUGGUGGUUAAUUCAAGUUCGGACGAAGUUUGAGUACCGAAGAGCUGCUCAGCAAAAGUCUGCUCGCGUAUUGUUAUUCCCGUUGUUGGUUUCGUUCUAGAUUCUUUUGGUUAUGAAGAACCAAAUUUCACAGAGAACCAUUCGAAGUACCGAAACGAUCACAAUGAAGAAAUUGAGGGAAGUUGUUGGUUCAAGUUCAAACAAGAAAGUUUCAAAAUUGUCAAGUAAGAAAAAAGUUGAGGAUCUUGGACGACCACGUCUGCCGAAUGUUUAGUUAUCAUUAAAAUAUGUAUUAGUAUGUAUAAGAUUUCAUUAUACAUUUGUUAAGAUUAUAUAGUGAAUUCUAUAAGGUGUUUGUAUCCAUGUGAAAUAGUAUUAGAUUAUAUUUAUUAUUUGUAUAAGAUUUACACAUACAUGUGAAACUGUUGUAUGAGGUUGCCUUUUAUUUGUUUUGGCAGUAUGAUUCUA